UAGGGAAUCUUCCGCAAUGGGCGAAAGCCUGACGGAGCAACGCCGCGUGAGUGAUGAAGGUCUUCGGAUCGUAAAACUCUGUUAUUAGGGAAGAACAAAUGUGUAAGUAACUAUGCACGUCUUGACGGUACCUAAUCAGAAAGCCACGGCUAACUACGUGCCAGCGGCCGCGGUAAUACGUAGGUGGCAAGCGUUAUCCGGAAUUAUUGGGCGUAAAGCGCGCGUAGGCGGUUUUUUAAGUCUGAUGUGAAAGCCCACGGCUCAACCGUGGAGGGGCAUUGGAAACUGGAAAACUUGAGUGCAGAAGAGGAAAGUGGAAUUCCAUGUGUAGCAGUGAAAUGCGCAGAGAUAUGGAGGAACACCAGUGGCGAAGGCGACUUUCUGGUCUGUAACUGACGCUGAUGUGCGAAAGCGUGGGGAUCAAACAGG
rnacentral:rRNA from 1 species